CUCGACUAAGAAAAAAUAAUGAACAAUUUAUCAAUAGUCUUCAAUGGGAAAUAAUAACAGGUUAAAUGUAAUUUCCUGUUUUGUGCCUUACAAAUAGAGCCCCAUAGUGGAUGCGUAAUAAUGCCCAUGAAACCCUUCGGUCAAACACCGAAAUGGUUCCAAUCAUAAAUUCAUUUUCCCCACAGGGGAUUUUAGAACCAUUUUAAAACAAGGUCGGUGGUUCAUGUAGUCAGUAGCAUGAGAACCCCUUUAAAACAAGGUCUGUGUUUCAUGUAGUCAGUAGCAUGAGAACCCCUUUAAAACAAGGUCUGUGUUUCAUGUAGUCAGUAGCAUGAGAACCCAUUUAAAACAAGGUCUGUGUUUCAUGUAGUCAGUAGCAUGAGAACCCAUUUAAAACAAGGUCUGUGUUUCAUGUAGUCAGUAGCAUGAGAACCCAUUUAAAACAAGGUCUGUGUUUAAAAACAGUUUCUAUGCAUGAUAAAACAGGUCAGUCUGGCAUUCUCUGGAUGUAUGGUGCUUUCAAGACUACUGGGAACUUGUUUUCCCAGUCUGAGAUCGUUUUCUUUCCGAGUUCCCACUUGUCUUGAACUCAUGAAGUCUGAGAUUUCCCAGUUUUUCCGAGUUCCCACUUGUCUUGAACUCAUGAAGUCUGAGAUUUCCCAGUUUUUCCGAGUUUCCAGUUGUUCUGAACGCGGCAGAAGUCAUGCUGGAUUGUUUUACAUUUAGUUUAUUAAUUUGACCAUUUAAAAAAACAAGCACACAUAAAACUUGGAAAAGCCAUACAUGCAAAUAACUAAAAUCAUCAAGGAUAACACACAAUCAAGUCUGGAACUUUCUAUUGUGGUCCUCUUGAAACAACACUUCUAGGCAAGAUACAACAUGGUUGAACACAGUAUGAAAAUAAUCUAACAAAGAAGAACAUCAGUGCAGUUACAUCCUAGGGGUCAUUCAGAUGGGCACAGAAGACAUCUUCCCUGACAUUAGUUAUCUUUGUUUUCUUUAUUAUGUUGGUUAGGUCAGGGUUUGACAAGGGUGGUUGGUUUAGUUUUUUGUAUUGUCUAGGUGUUUUUGUCCUGUCUAGGGUUUUUGU
ensembl:lncRNA